UCGGGAAUUUUGGGCAAUGGGCGAAAGCCUGACCCAGCAACGCCGCGUGAAGGAUGAAGUAUUUCGGUAUGUAAACUUCGAAAGAAUAGGAAGAAUAAAUGACGGUACUAUUUAUAAGGUCCGGCUAACUACGUGCCAGCAGCCGCGGUAAUACGUAGGGACCAAGCGUUGUUCGGAUUUACUGGGCGUAAAGGGCGCGUAGGCGGCAAUUCAAGUCAUCUGUGAAAUCUCCGGGCUUAACUCGGAACGGUCAGAUGAUACUGCUUUGCUAGAGUGCAGAAGGGGCAAUCGGAAUUCUUGGUGUAGCGGUGAAAUGCGUAGAUAUCAAGAGGAACACCUGAGGUGAAGACGGGUUGCUGGGCUGACACUGACGCUGAGGCGCGAAAGCCAGGGGAGCAAACAGGAUUAGAUACCCUAGUAGUCCCUGAGCGGGCUGGCAAGGCGCAU
rnacentral:rRNA from 1 species